UUCUGGCUCAGGAUGAACGCUGGCGGCGUGCUUAACACAUGCAAGUCGAGCGAAGCAUUUUAAGGAAGUUUCGGAUGGAAUAAAAGUGGCUGAGCGGCGGACGGGGUGAGGUAACGCGUGGGUAACCUGCCUCAUACAGGGGGAUAACAGUUGGAAACGACUGCUAAUACCGCAUAAGCGCACAGUGCUGCAUAGCACAGUGUGAAAAAACUCCGGUGGUAUGAGAUGGACCCGCGUCUGAUUAGGUAGUUGGUGAGGUAACGGCCCCACCAAGCCGACGAUCAGUAGCCGACCUGAGAGGGUGACCGGCCACAUUGGGACUGAGACACGGCCCAAACUCCUACGGGAGGCAGCAGUGGGGAAUAUUGGACAAUGGGGGAAACCCUGAACUCCAGCGACGCCGCGUGAGUGAAGAAGUAUUUCGGUAUGUAAAGCUCUAUCAGCAGGGAAAGAAAAUGACGGUACCUGACUAAGAACGCCCCGGCUAACUACGUGCCAGCCGCCGC
rnacentral:rRNA from 1 species